rnacentral:rRNA from 1 species
AUUGUUUGCGUACGCGUUAGAUUGGUAGAUAACGUCAAACAGUUUAGACUUGUGAUGAGUAAAAUGCUUGUUGCUUUAAGGUUGAGGCUGGAUAGUGACUGGGCUUUCGGGUUCAGGAAGUUGCGUGAGCUAGGCUGUCGAGAAAUAAUUUCUAAGGUUAGGCAUGUCAUAAUCGUACCGCAAACCGACACAGGUGGGUGAGAUGAGUAUUCUAAGGCGCUCGAGAUAAUCUUCCCUAAGGAACUCUGCAAAUUAGUCUUGUAACUUCGGAAAAAGAGACGCUUGAAUCUUGGUAGCAAUAUUGAGAGGAGAGUCGCAGUGAAAAGGCCUGGCCGACUGUUUAACAAAAACACAGAUCUCUGCAAACAUGUAAAUGGAUGUAUAGGGAUUGACACCUGCCCAGUGCUGGAAGGUUAAAAGGAGAGGUUAGCGUAAGCGAAGCUUCGAAUUGAAGCCCCAGUAAACGGCGGCCGUAACUAUGACGGUCCUAAGGUAGCGAAAUUCCUUGUCGGGUAAGUUCCGACCUGCACGAAUGGUGUAACGAUCCGGGCACUGUCUCGGGGAAGAACUCGGUGAAAUUGAAUUAUCAGUGAAGAUGCUGAUUACCCGCAACAGGACGGAAAGACCCCGUGAACCUUUACUAUAACUUGACAUUGAGUUUUGUUUUGUGAUGUGUAGGAUAGA